rnacentral:ncRNA from 1 species
UUUUAGAAAUGCUUGAUGUUUCAGAAAUAUUAGCAAUGUUUGAACACGAUGUUCAAACAAGCCGCCACUGAGCCACGGAUGGCGAAUUGGCGGCGGUUGCGUAAAAUUUGAAUAAUGUAUAUUGGAACAUCUAGCAUUUCUUAGUUUCAAAG